UUUAACAAUACACUCACAUUAUUUUUUAAUCAAUCUUCUCCCACAGAUCCAUCAAUGUCCUCAUCUUCUGUGUCUGAAUUGAACAGCUUUCUUCAUCAAACAUGCCGGGUUCCCUCUCAUCAUGGUUGAUUGCUGCCAGUGUACGUAGUGUACCUAUUACGUCCCUGUGUCAGCGGGAAAUGGUCCGACAGUCAGCCUCGCGUGUGGAGACUUCAGAAGAUGCCAGACCUCACAAAGAUUUCAGAUGAUGGAAACUAUAGAUGAAUAUGUAAAGCUGCUAAAUAAUCCUUAUAUUGUAAUCAUUGCCCUAAAAGGAAUCGAUAAGAAUCGGAAUCAAUAAGCAGAAUCGGAAUUGAUAAAAUUCAAAUGAUACCCAACCCUAGAAAUGAGGGACACCUGCUCCACUCACCGGUCUCGCAUCCCACGGAGGAGAUCGGAGGGAUACAAAAGAGGAGCGACGACAUUGAAGGAUGAGAGAGGACCAGGCCUGGACUUUAUUUUGUGUCUGUGCAAGACAGUCGUCUGCGAGGGGCUGGCGCGAUGUUUUGUCUUUAUUUUAUUAUUAAAGCUCUGUUUGA